AAUAGAUUUGUAAUUGACCAUGUAGGAAAUUUCCAUCAGCAGUUCUUAAAAUGUAAUCCAGAACUGGUGGAAGUUGUUAGCAAUGCAUAUUCUUCAGACCCCCUUCAGAUCUGCCAAAUCUGAGAUUGUGAAGGCCAUUCAAUGUCCCUUCUUCAGGAAUUUGGAAAAAGGAUGGAGAUGUCUCUCUGAGCUAGACUCGUCAGUGGAGGAAAUGUUACAACUCAUGGACCGUGGCGUUACCAUCUGCCUUAGGAACAGAGCAGCCCCUCUGUCUUCAAGAAAAAAGACUAGAGCACCGGGAGAAGAAAACAGAAGCAAGAUGGGUAAAGAAAUGCCUGGUUGCAGUCCCUCCUGAGACCAGGCAGCAGUUUUGGAUCUGUGGACUCCCUAUUCCCCACCCAGAGAGGGCCCCCAAGAUUUGGGAACGGGGUUUCACCAUGUUGCUCAAGCUGAUCUCGAACUCCUGGACUCAAGUGAUCUGCCCACCUUGGCCUCCCAAAGUGUUGGAAUUACAGGUAUCACAGACCACCUCGCUGGGAUACCUCUUCUGACCCCAUAUAAAGGAGCCACCAAUCUCCAGCCACUCCAUC